AUACCUGAAACAAAAGCACUGGCCACACCAUGUGCAAGGCAUUCUUACGUUUUCUAUUCUGUUGUUUCUUUUAAAAAUAGGUUGGUGGUUAUCGUCAAAAUUGGUUGACAACUCAUUAAUGCAUGGUGGUCAGUUUGAAAAUCACUGAUUUUUUAUUUCUAAAAUUUCAGACUUAUGGUCAUUUCAGGGGUACAUGUGCAGGAUGUGCGGUUUGUUACAUACGUAAGCACAUGCCAUGGUGGCUUGCUGCACAGGUCAUCUCAUCACCCGGGUAUUAGCCUGGCGUCCCGCUAACUAUUCUUCCUGAACUUCUCCCCGCCACCCGCCGCCCUCCAACAGGCCCUAGUGUGUGUUGUUACCCCUGUGUGUCCAUGUGUUCUCAUUGUUCAGUUCCCACUUAAAAGUGAGAACACGUGGUACUUGCUUUUCUGUUUCUCAGUUAGUUUGCGAAGGAUAAUGGCCUCCAGCUCCAUUCAUGUCCCUGCAAAGGACAUGAUCUCAUUCCUUUUUAUGGCUAUGUAAUAUUCCAUGGUGUGUAUGUACCACAUUUUCUUUAUCCAGUCUGUCACUGAUGGGCAUUUAGAUUGAUUCCAUGUCUUUGCUAUUGUGAAUUGUGCUGCAGUGAAUGUACAUGUGCAUGUGUCUUUAUAAUAGAAUGGUUUAUAUUCCUUUGGUUAUAUACCCAGGAAUGAGAUUGUUGGGUUGAAUCCCCGUGGUAUUUCUGUCUCUCGGUCUUUGAAGAAUUGCCACACUAUCUUCCAUAAUGGUUGAACUAAUUUACACUCCCACCAGUAGUAUAAAAGCGUUUCUUUUUCUCCACAACCUUGCCAGCAUCUGUUAUUUUUUAACUUUUUGAUAAUAGCCAUUCUGACUGGUAUGAGAUGGUAUCUCAUUGUGGUUUUGAUAUGCUCUUCUCUAAUGAUCAGUGACGUUGAGAUUUUUUUUUCAUAUGUUUGUUGGUUGCAUGUAUGUCUUCUUUUGCAAAGUGUUCAUGUCCUUAGUCUGCUUUUUAAUGGAGUUGUUUGGAAACCACUGAUUAAAGCAAUUAUUAGUAGAGUUAAAGAAGGAAAUGACCUGUUAGAUGAAUCUAGGGCAAAAGCACUAUAGCUCUUUCUUGGUUAUUUAUUUAUUUAUUUAUUUAUUUUUGAGAUGGAGUUUUGCUCUUGUUACCCAGACUGGAGUGCAAUGGCAUGAUCUCGGCUCACCGCAUCCUCCGCCUUCUGGGUUCAAGCAGUUCUGCCUCAGCCUCCCGAGUAGCUGGGAUUACAGGCACACACCACCAUGCCCAGGUGGACACCAAAAGUGUCCUGGGAAUACUGAUCCCUUCUGCAAGCUGCAAUCACCAGUCCAGCCAUGCAUGGAGCUGGGAAAAGCAGGCCCUGAAUCAUCUACAGAGACUUGGUGGAGGAGGCCACAGCCUGCCUUUUCCUGGGCAGGCCCCAGCCAGGUGUGUGUGCCCCAGCCCGACUCUCAGUGGUCUCCAGGCUGCAGCAGAGGAACACUGAACAACUGGAUGUUGUAAAUGUUUCUCAUCUGGCCUUAAAAAAAACAUGAAAGCUGAAAAUGCCAAGGCAUCUGUGCCCAUGCUGGUGGAUUUUAAAGAGAGUCCUGUGCUUGGAACACCAGAAAUAAACCAGCUUCACAAGCAAAGUAACAAAAGGCCUUGGAUGGUGACCCUGGCCCUGGCCAAGGGUAUUACUAUAUGUAGGUGUUAAGUGGGUGAUCCUGGGACACCUGUCCUGCAAACUGUCCACCCUGACUCAGCUGACUUCUGCAAUUGUGCCUGAAUAACUGAAAAACUUCUAAGGGGAGAGGUGGCUGGGCCCUCCAGGGGGAAAAUCCCUCCCUAACUCCAUGUGAUCCUGGUGGUGCUGUCCACCAUGGUACCAUCCUCGCUCCCACGGGGGCCAGGGGACAAGGAAGCCAACUGGCCCAGGCCAAUGAGAGUCCCCUGAGAGUUCCUGGUUCAAAGAUGGCCACAUGCCUGAGCAGCUUUGAAACCACAAGGAUGUCAUUUCCUCCUAAGAACGAAGUUAGCAGGUGGAAGGAGGAGAGCUAGAGAUGGAACGAGACCCAGCCAGCCUGGGCUCCAGUGACAUCAGCUGUCAGAGUUUUGCUCUCUGUAACCCACGCUGGAGUGCAGUGGUGAGAUCUCGGCUUACUGCAACCUCCGCCUCCCAGGUUUAAGCGAUUCUACUGCCUCAGCCUCCCAUGUAGUUGGGAUUACAGACGUGAGCCACCACGCCCAGCCAAGGAUCUGAACGUCUAUGACACUUUGGAGCGGACACAAUGAAGAACAUGGAAUAAGAACCAGGCCAAAGGCCUGGAAGGAGAACUCACCCAGUCUGCCAGGGUCACAGAUGAGUGUGCUCAAGAUGUUCCUGGGGAGGCAAUGGCGAAUUUCACUGUGCUGUUUUACAGAUGAAGGAGGAAUAUAAAGAAGGUUCCAGGACCUUGAAGUCCAUGGAACUCCCCACGACUGCCUGAUCUCUGGAGCUUGUCAUUUGGCCAACAACAGGGAUAUGGGGACAGAAGGCAGGAGCCUGGCUCACUUGGGCAGUCAGCUUCUGCCUCUUUCCCUGCUGUCUCCAGGUACUGAGAAUGUCCUACAGUUCCCCCAGGAUGAACCCCACAUUACCUUUCAGGUCACUCUCUUUCCCCUGAUCUUUGUCAAAUUCCUGACUCAGAGCUCCUCCCAUUGGCUUCUGACUCUCAUUUUAUCCUUAGUGUUAACCAUUUCUGUUCUCUUCAUUCUCCCUUUCUGUGAGUGCUAGAGUAUGUAAAUAUGCCAGUGCUGAGACCAGAGCGCAAGGCAACUGCUCAGGGUUGGUCAUCACUGUUAUUGUUAUUAAAUGUAGCCUCAUUAGGGAAUGGUUGGUUGGUUUCUUUCUUUUUUUUUACUUGAUUCAAUACUGCACAAUGCUGUUGCUCACAAGAAUAUAAGGUCAACCUUAACCUUAGAUUAUGGAAAU